rfam:Salmo salar isolate Sally breed double haploid chromosome ssa01, whole genome shotgun sequence.
AAUUCACCAAUUUGUAAGUCGCUCUGGAUAAGAGCGUCUGCUAAAUGACGUAAA